ACUGCUCAGUAACACGUGGCCAAACUACCCUACAGACCGCGAUAACCUCGGGAAACUGAGGCCAAUAGCGGAUAUCACUCUCAGACUGGAGUGUCGAGAGUGAGAAACGUUCCGGCGCUGUAGGAUGUGGCUGCGGCCGAUUAGGUAGAUGGUGGGGUAACGGCCCACCAUGCCGAUAAUCGGUACAGGUUGUGAGAGCAAGAGCCUGGAGACGGUAUCUGAGACAAGAUACCGGGCCCUACGGGGCGCAGCAGGCGCGAAACCUUUACACUGCACGACAGUGCGAUAGGGGGACUCCGAGUGUGAGGGCAUAUAGCCCUCGCUUUUCUGUACCGUAAGGUGGUACAGGAACAAGGACUGGGCAAGACCGGUGCCAGCCGCCGCGGUAAUACCGGCAGUCCAAGUGAUGGCCGAUAUUAUUGGGCCUAAAGCGUCCGUAGCUUGCUGUGUAAGUCCAUUGGGAAAUCGACCAGCUCAACUGGUCGGCGUCCGGUGGAAACUACACAGCUUGGGGCCGAGAGACUCAACGGGUACGUCCGGGGUAGGAGUGAAAUCCUGUAAUCCUGGACGGACCACCAAUGGGGAAACCACGUUGAGAGACCGGACCCGACAGUGAGGGACGAAAGCCAGGGUCUCGAACCGGAUUANAUACCCGGGUAGUCCUGGCUGUAAACAAUGCUCGCUAGGUAUGUCACGCGCCAUGAGCACGUGAUGUGCCGUAGUGAAGACGAGAAGCGAGCCGCCUGGGAAGUACGUCUGCAGGGAUGAAACUUAAAGGAAUUGGCGGGGGAGCACCACAACCGGAGGAGCCUGCGGUUUUANUUGGACUCAACGCCCGGNA
rnacentral:rRNA from 1 species